rnacentral:misc_RNA from 1 species
GAUGAAGAACGUAGUAAAAUGCGAUAAGUAAUGUGAAUUGCAGAAUUCAGUGAAUCAUCGAAUCUUUGAACGCACAUUGCGCCCGCCAGUAUUCUGGCGGGCAUGCCUGCUCGAGCGUCAUUUCAACCCUCAAGCACAGCUUGGUGUUGGGACUCGCGUUAAUUCGCGUUCCUCAAAUUGAUUGGCGGUCACGUCGAGCUUCCAUAGCGUAGUAGUAAAACCCUCGUUACUGGUAAUCGUCGCGGCCACGCCGUUAAACCCCAACUUCUGAAUGUUGACCUCGGAUCAGGUAGGAAUACCCGCUGAACUUAAGCAUAUCAAUAAGCGGAGGA